CGAGCGCCGCGCUGCCGAGACCGCACACGGCUGCGCCGCGCCGCCGCGCUUCACUUCUCCGCCGCUUCGUCCAUCCGCCAGCAUCAUGCCCCUGCAGUCCACCCUGUCGGGGGGCCGCGCCGGCCGGGCCGCCAUCGACACGCAGAUGGACGGCCGCUCUUUCGAGCAGCUGCGUCAGGAAUGCCUCCAGAAGCGGGUCCUGUUCGAGGACCCCGACUUCCCUGCGCAAGACUCGUCGCUCUUCUUUAGCCAGGCGGUUCCAGUCAGGAUGGAGUGGAAGAGGCCGCCGGAGUUGGGCGCCAACCCAAAGUUCAUCGUGGGCGACGCCCACCGGACAGAUAUCUGCCAGGGACAGCUGGGGGACUGCUGGCUCCUGGCCGCCAUCGCGUCCUUGACUCUGAAGAAGGACGCUCUGGCCCGGGUGGUCCCCCACGACCAGGACUUUGAGCACCGCUACGCCGGCAUCUUCCACUUCCAGUUCUGGCAGCACAACAAGUGGCUGGACGUGGUGGUGGACGACCGUCUGCCGUCGGUACGCGGCCAGCUCAUCCUGCUGCACUCGGCCUCCAACAAUGAGUUCUGGAGCGCCUUGUUGGAGAAAGCCUACGCCAAGCUGCACGGCAGCUAUGAGUCGCUGAAGGGCGGCAGCACCAUGGAGGCCAUGGAAGACUUCACAGGCGGCGUUGGCGAGAUGCACGAUACCAAAAAAGCCAACGCGGAUCUUUUCAACAUCAUGAAGAAAGGCCUGGACCGAGGAUCCAUGAUGGGAUGCUCCAUCGACAUCACCAGCUCGGCCGAGUCGGAGGCCAAGACCAGCAGCGGCCUGGUCAAAGGUCACGCCUACUCCGUCACCGGCCUGCAGGAGAUCACCUGCCGAGGUCAAAGGGUCAAACUGGUCCGCGUGAGGAACCCCUGGGGUCAGGUGGAGUGGAACGGACCCUGGAGCGACGGUUCCCGAGAGUGGGACUAUGUGGACCAAGGGGAGAAAAAUCGAAUUCUGCAGCACUCCUCCGAAGACGGCGAAUUCUGGAUGACGUUUGAGGACUUCAAGGCCAACUUUGACAAGGUGGAGAUCUGCAACAUGACGCCGGACGCGCUGACGGACAACACCAAGCGCCACUGGGAGGCGCAAUUGUUCGAGGGCCAGUGGAUCCGCGGCUCCACCGCCGGCGGCUGUCGAAACUUCAUCGACACCUUCUGGACCAACCCCCAAUUCAAGCUGGAGCUGGCGGACGCCGACGAUGACGACGACGUGUGCAGCGUGGUCAUCGCGCUGAUGCAGAAGAACCGACGGGAGCUGAGGAAAGAGGGCAUGGACCUCCAGACCAUCGGAUUCUCCGUCUACGAGGCUCCCAACAACGCCGAUCAGCAAGGCAAAGACUUCUUCCGCACGCACGCGUCCAAAGCUCGCAGCAAUACCUACAUCAACCUGCGGGAGGUGUCGGGGCGCUUCACGCUGCCACCGGGCCGCUACUUGCUGGUGCCCAGCACCUUCCAGCCGCACCAUGAGGCGGACUUCCUGGUGCGCAUCUUCUCCGAGAAGAAGGUGGCUGCCCUGGAGAUGGGCAGCAACAUAGACGCGGACCUGCCUGAGCCUCCACCGCCCAGCGCUCCCGAGGAUGAGACGGAUGAGGAGAAAGGACUCAGGAGGCUCUUCGAGCAGCUGGCUGGAUCGGAUCGAGCCAUCUCCGUCAGGGAACUUCAGCAGCUGCUCAACGGUGUCCUCAGCAGCCGCAAGGAGAUCCAGUUUGAUGGCCUGAGCCUCCACACGUGCCACAGCAUCAUGAAUCUGAUGGACGUGGACAACACCGGGAAGAUGGAGUUCCAGGAAUUUAAGGUCUUCUGGGAGAAGAUGAAGAAGUGGAUCAUGCUCUUCCUCUCCUUUGACACAGACCGCUCGGGCAAGAUGUCCUCCUACGAGCUCCGCAGUGCCCUCAAAGCUGCAGGCAUGCAGCUGAACAAUCAGAUGCUGCAACUACUUGGCCUGAGGUUUGCCGACGAGAAGUACGACAUCGACUUUGAUGACUAUCUCACCUGCAUCGUCCGACUGGAGAACAUGUUCCGAGUUUUCCAGGCUAUGGAUGAGCACAACAAGGGCCGGAUUCGAAUGAACAUGUUGCAGGUAAGCUAACGCAAACAUUCAUGCUAAACCUCUUUAGUAUUGCUGAUUUUCACUCAUCACGGGUGGAUGUAGAAUAUAGUGUACAGGGUUUUGUAUUCCAUUUAACUUGGUCUUUGCUUCUCUGUCAGUUUCUGAUGUUGUCCAUGAACGUGUGAGAAGACGCCGUGAGCAAAACGGAAGCCUACAGAAGAACAAAAGUUGUCCCGUUCUCAUAAGAUGCAUACAUAUACAUAAAUGCUUGUUCUAUCAUUGUGCUGUAAAACUUUCUAGUCUGGACAGGAAUGGAGCAAAGAAUGUGACAUAUCGGUUUGAGGGCUUAAACUUAUGUUUGAUUAGAACUUUUUGAUUUUCUUUUUGUCACCACUAUGAACCAAUAAAUUGUGAAUAAAGCCGUGAAAUAUU